AUUUCUACUUUAACAAUAGUUCUGACCUUUGAGUAAAAUUUGGUAAGUUCUAUUUGUUGGCGUAGUAUUA
rnacentral:pre_miRNA from 1 species